AUUUUGUACGAUGGGGGAAACCCUGAUCCAGCCAUCCCGCGUGUGCGAUGAAGGCCUUCGGGUUGUAAAGCACUUUUGGCAGGGAAGAAAAGGUUCUGGCUAAUAAUCAGAACUGCUGACGGUACCUGCAGACUAAGCACAGGCUAACUACGUGCAAGCAGCCGCGGUAAUACGUAGGGUGCAAGCGUUAAUCGGAAUUACUGGGCGUAAAGCGUGCGCAGGCGGUUUGGCAAGAAGGAUGUGAAAUCCCGGGGCUUAACCUCGGAACUGCAUUCUUAACUGCCAGGCUAGAGUAUGUCAGAGGGGGGUAGAAUUCCACGUGUAGCAGUGAAAUGCGUAGAGAUGUGGAGGAAGACCGAUGGCGAAGACAGCGCCCUGGGAUACUACUGACGCUCAUGCACGAAGGCGUGGGGAGCAAACA
rnacentral:rRNA from 1 species